rnacentral:tRNA from 1 species
GAGAAAGUGGUGCAAGAACUGCUAAUUCUGAGCCCCAUAUAUAAAAAUAUGGCUUCCUCA